UCGAAUCCCCGGUUGUACGUGACAAGGAGUAGGGUCGCUUGUCCAACCUCGUGGGUUUUCUCCGGGUCCUCCGGUUUCCUCCCACUGCUAAAGACCCCUAUGCGCCAGCGAAUUAUUGAAAUAAAAUUAAACCAUAUGUUAGUCCCGAAAUGACCUAGUUUGUGUCGAGUGGACGUUAAACCCCAUUUCUCUCUCUCUCUUCAAUGUCGAAGACUUUGGGUGAUAUUGCGUUAGAGACUUAGCUACUUUAAGUACUAUGCUAAUACUGUACGCGGAUGUGAGCUCGAGUGUUGUUUCAAUAUAUUGCGCAAUGUCUUAAGCUCAAGGCCAUCAAAUAACUUAAAAUACAGACACUCGCACCUAUUUUUCUUGCGAUAUCACCUCGGUGGAAGCGGACGUAAAAUACAACCUACUUUUCAAUGAAAUACGUCACACUAGUCCAGUGUAUUCACCUAAUAUAGAUAAUGUACGAUUGGCAAGUUGAACAUGGUUAGAUCUAUUUGGCAAGGUCAAACGCAUAUUUUUCUCAAGGUCACGAGAUGUAAAUGGGGCUAUUACGAAAUCAUAUCGUUAUAUUUCGUUUAUAUUCCAUUAUUCGUAUUAUUUCAGUUUUGUCAUUAGACUGUUCUAUCUGUGCCAAUAACUCAACAUUUUGUGAUGAUUAUAACUAUACAAUAUCCACAUAUAAACCAGAUAUCUUCUGCAGUGACUUCAACAAAACAAGGGGUUUCUCUUUAUGUAUUGAAUAUAGAACAGUUGGGGGUUAUACCGUUAUAUGUGAUAUAAACGGUACAUCAAAACAAUGUGAUGACACAUGUGGAACCAAUGGAGAAGUAGAUGGUAAUUAAUAGUUUUCACAUUGUAAAUAGUAAAGUAAAUGAAUAGUAUUGAUAUAGCAAAGUUUGAAUGGAACUAUGCCAAGUAAAUGAAUAGUGCUGAUAUAGUAACGCUAAUGUACUAAAAUGAACUAUGCCAAGUAAAUGAAUAGUACUGAUAUAGUAAAGCUUGUGUACUGAAAGGAACUAUGCUAAGAACAAUUUAUAAUUCCGUGAAUUCAUGGUUCAUUGAUAAAGCUGUGUUCCAAUUUUCAUUUACAAAUAUUUAUUUAAAACACGCAAAAUUAUUAAGUUAUCAUAUCGCAUCCCUUCUAGUGUGUGUCAUUGCUACUAUUAUGCAAAUCAAUAGCAAAAAUUGAAGACAUGCUUGGACAGGAAUUAGUUAUGGUACAGCUUUCAUGAGCUCUCUGUGUUUCCUAUCCCUUUCAGUCCUAAAAAUAAAUGAAAUGCCUAAAACCUGACAUUAGCUGAUUAUACUGAGUGAAUGUUGAACCCAGUGCUGGAUUUCCCUAGAUCAAUGGAGCCUCCGCUCAAACUGUAUUGUAUUUUAGAAACACGGUAGUCUUAAACACCUGUUAGCGUCAUCGGCUGCCCGUCUCGAUUAGGUUUUUCUCCCGGGAUGAGAGGUCCGGAUCGAGUACACAGUCUCACGCAUAUUCCGCCGAAGAUCAGAAAAUUUUUUGGGAUUUUCAAAAAAUAAAGUUCUUCUGUGAUUAUUUUCAGGGUACAAAUGUGACGCCUGUGCAUAUAACACCGUGCCUAUUAAUGCAUGCGGUAAAUCUAGCAACCCAAUUAUUGUUGGUAUUCCUGAUUCAGAUGUAAUGUGUGACAAGCUACACAAAGCGCAAGCCAUCAAUAUACGGAAAAUAGGGGAGGGCUUAUCGCUGACAACGAGGACCCACGUAUAGGCCCUAUCCCGGAAUGACAGCUGUCAAUCUGUAAUUGUGAACAUGUAAACUGAUGUCGGAAGCCAAUCUCGUCCCUAACCACACCUAAAUAAAGAUGUUGAAUAUUUUUCUCGCCGUCUACUGAAGCCAAUCUCAUCCUUAACGUCGAGAGGUACGAUAUAUCAAUCACAGACUAACACCAACUAAACACAGAUAAAGAAAGAUGUUUAUUAUUUUGCUGGCCGUCCUCGUCUUAAUUAAUGUUAAUGUACCCGUAUUUGGUCUCUACAAGUUAUAUAGAGGAAACAUAAUCCCAGAAGAUGGAUAUAUUGUCAAGCGGCAUACAGUCAUAACCCGGACCCAGUGUGCAUUAAUUUGUUUUAAUACACCAACCUCGUGCCGAUCAUUCGCCUACCACUCGAUAAAUAAAGAGUGCUGUGAGCUAUCCCCGAGUUUCAUACCAAUACAGAAACCAACAACGGGCGUUGGCUGGGAAUACUGGGGAGUUUGUUCACGGAGAGAUUCGUGUAUAGAAGAUGAAAUAGAUGGAAGGUGUUUUUGUCUGAAGAAAAAAAUACGAAAAGUGAACAAUGCUAAAACUUACUGCGAAUCACGGGGCGGUAAUCUAGCCAUAUUAAACACCACCAAUUCAUUUGAACGUGUUGAAAGCCUAUUGUUAGAAGAGGGAAAAGAUCUUACAAAUGUAGCAAUUGGUGCCAAUGAUGACGCUGAAGAGGGCAUUUUUCAAUGGAAUGAUGGCACACCAGUAAAUACUUUUGGUAAAUUGAAAAUAACACUAACUGGCCCUGGUUAUAUAGAGAACUGUCUAUCAGUAAGGUUGGGGAAAUCUGAUUUCACAUAUGAUGAUAUAAAUUGUGAUAUUAAUCUGUUUCCUUUUAUUUGUGAAAUGAAAAUGUAACCGACUGAUCUACAAUUUCCAGCUAAAAAAUAUUAAAGUUAACCAAUAAUGUUAACGGAGAGGGGUUGUACAUAGGCUAAAUCUGUUCCCCCAUUCCCAAUUAGAUAUCCUGAAUAAAAAUAUUGUUUAGAAAACUUUAAAUUUAUCAAUAUAUAAUACUUACAUCAAAAUAAAGAGUUGAUAUAUUUCUAUCGAUUUCUGAUGGCAUAUGUUCCCUCCGAUUUUACAGAUAUUUCUAUAUUAAAUGAUUUAAUUCCGUUUUGUUUUAAUGUCGAUUGUUUAUAAGGGCAUUAUGGAUGAUUAGAUAACGAUAAUAGUUAAAAACUAGAUAAUGUAAAGGGAACAUGCUGACAAUUUCAGUCAAAUUGCUCCACUCUGAACCGAGAUAUUAGCGGCUGAAUGUUAGGCCUACCCUUGAUUAGUAUUGCUAAACUCGGUACGAUAAAAAAAAAAACAAACAUAGUCUCGAUUAUCCAUUUUUGCAUUUAUUCAUCAAUGAGCGUUGAGUAGCAGAUCGAAUUCAAACCCAGUGAAAAUCGAAUACAUAAGAUGGCAUCGAGAGUUAAUUAUGAUCCGGUACAGUGGUACACACAAACUAUAAACGUUAAUUAUGAUCCGGUACAGUGGUACACACAAACUAUAAACGUUAAUUAUGAUCCGGUACAGUGGUACACACAAACUAUAAACAAAGUGUUUUAACUAUUUCUGGAAUAAUAUCACCUUUUUCAGCGCGUUUGCCUGCCUUUAGUAUAGACAUUGCUAUCUGUAUUUCUGAAACUGUAAUUUCAUUAUCAAGGUAGGGGACGCCAUUAUGAUAUAGUAUAUAAAUAUAGGGUUUUUUUUUUCAUUUAUAAAUGAAGUGCCAUGAGAUUGAAAAACAUUUUUAAAUUUAUGUUCAUUGAAAUCAGACAAAUUCAGCUGGGAGGAAUGCUGUGGUGCAUCUAUACCAUUUUUUAUAAAGUUGCAUGUUUCUCCAGAAUCCUAUAGGGCUGUAGCCUUUUUAUAUUAUUUUAGCCCAGACCUGUAUCUGUACAAUAUGGUAGCAUGUUUUUUUUUAAAUAGGGGUAUAUUUAUAUUAGCUCGGCUGUGGUCAGUUUCUGCUUCAAUAAAAUAUUUGUAUUCUUUAUAAAUUCA